GACGAACGCUGGCGGCGUGCUUAACACAUGCAAGUCGAACGGAAAGGCCCUGCUUGCAGGGUACUCGAGUGGCGAACGGGUGAGUAACACGUGGGUGAUCUGCCCUGCACUUCGGGAUAAGCCUGGGAAACUGGGUCUAAUACCGGAUAGGAGCCAUUUUUAGUGUGAUGGUUGGAAAGUUUUUUCGGUGUAGGAUGAGCUCGCGGCCUAUCAGCUUGUUGGUGGGGUAAUGGCCUACCAAGGCGGCGACGGGUAGCCGGCCUGAGAGGGUGGACGGCCACAUUGGGACCGAGAUACGGCCCAGACACCUACGGGAGGCAGCAGUGGGGAAUAUUGCACAAUGGGCGCCAGCCUGAUGCAGCGACGCCGCGUGGGGGAUGACGGCCUUCGGGUUGUAAACUCCUUUCGCUAGGGACGAAGCUUUUUGUGACGGUACCUAGAUAAGAAGCACCGGCUAACUACGUG
rnacentral:rRNA from 1 species